GAUGAACGCUGGCGGCGUGCUUAACACAUGCAAGUCGAACGAAGCAUUUGCGACAGAUUUUUUCGGAAUGAAGUUGCUUAUGACUGAGUGGCGGACGGGUGAGUAACGCGUGGGUAACCUGCCUUGUACUGGGGGAUAGCAGCUGGAAACGGCUGGUAAUACCGCAUAAGCGCACAAUGUUGCAUGACAUGGUGUGAAAAACUCCGGUGGUAUAAGAUGGACCCGCGUCUGAUUAGCUAGUUGGUGAGAUAACAGCCCACCAAGGCGACGAUCAGUAGCCGACCUGAGAGGGUGACCGGCCACAUUGGGACUGAGACACGGCCCAGACUCCUACGGGGGGCAGCAGUGGGGAAUAUUGCACAAUGGAGGAAACUCUGAUGCAGCGACGCCGCGUGAGUGAAGAAGUAAUUCGUUAUGUAAAGCUCUAUCAGCAGGGAAGAUAGUGACGGUACCUGACUAAGAAGCUCCGGCUAAAUACGUG
rnacentral:rRNA from 1 species